AGAAUCAACGCUGGCGGCGUGCCUCAGACAUGCAAGUCGAACGCGAAAGUCCCCUUCGGGGGACAAGUAGAGUGGCGCACGGGUGAGUAACACGUAGGUAAUCUACCUUUGGAUGGGGAAUAACAACCGGAAACGGUUGCUAAUACCGCAUAAUGCAGCGGCACCUAAUGGUGACAGUUGUUAAAGCGGGGGAUCGAAAGACCUCGCGUCUGAAGAGGAGCCUGGCGGCGGAUUAGCUAGUUGGUAAGGUAAUGGCUUACCAAGGCUACGAUCC
rnacentral:rRNA from 1 species